CUGCAUGACCUCAAUUUGGAGUUCAUAGCAUAUGGAAUGUGAUUUCAACUACUGAAUGAACUGGAACUCCUCAUUUUGGAACUAGAAGAGUACAUGAUUCUCUAUCAUAUGCAUAAACAUGAACUAUGAUCAUGGAAUCAAAACGUAUGGCAUGAGUAGGUAUUGGGAUAGCUGAAAAUUACUGAGAUAAGAAUGGGUUGAGUCCCACCCUCACUUGUUGAUGUUCUAUAUCAUACUGGCAAUACUAUUAGAAUCUGAGAGUCUGACUUGGUUACUUGUUCUAUCAUCUCCCCCUUAACUUUAACCCAUCAUCUUAAGUUCGAGAGAUCCCUUACUAUACUCUUAACUGAACUACACUCACUGCACUCUGGGGUCUGGAAUGCUAUAAUACACACAAUUAAUAGAACUUAACCCAAUUACCACACCUGAAAGUGGAAAACCCACUUUUAAUACUACCUUCUGAGAUACACAUUAUCUUUCUACAACCACCACUAGUCAUCAUAUAAUACUUGAACACUUACUAACUUUGAAUCUUCAUGAAUAUCCCCAGAGUUGAAGUGCACACCCUCUAGUGCCUUUACUCUUAUUUCUAUUAGUUCAACCUUCAAAACUCAAACUUAGAUUCUAACACUUAACAUGGAUAUCACUAAGCCUUUGAUGAACCAUACUUCUUCCACCAUAUCCUACCAAUAUCGCGACCCUAAACUUAUCUCUCUACCUUGAGGAUUAAGAUCAUAUCAAAAGGGUCAACACUAUCAGUCAAAACUCCUUAACUUAUCUAUUUAGAACACCAUGUACCAUCUACUAGUAUUUCUCCACCUAGAAACUCAAUGGUACUACUAGCCACACACAACAUGUAGUAGCCUUAAAAAAUACCUCAACCUCAUAUCAGCUUGGGCAUACUUCUACAUCAUACAUACAACAUCAUACUUCACUACGAAUCAAAUAAACUUAAGCUCUUGCAUACACCAUUCAAGCCUAUUAGAUCACUUCCAUAUAACUAGAUCAUUAACCAAGAGAUCAUCAUAUCCACCUUUAUGGACAUCAACUAUUCAAACUUAAUAUCUAGUGCUAAACAUGAUUUACAACCCAACCUUACAUAUAAUUCUUGCAAAACAUACAUCAUUACUAUUAAGCCAUUAUUCUUACAACUACAUUCUACAUUUGAAUUCAAGUCUAUAGUCUAGCAUCAAUCAUCUACCAUCAAUGAAAAAUGCAACAUAUUAUACUAGUCCACCAAAUUAGGACAUCCUACCCAAAUACCUUAUUUUAUUUAGCUGCUACCCACGACUAAAACAUCUUUAUGACAUUACUACUAUACCUCAAAAAUCUAUUACAUACCUUCUCACAAAUAGUACUAGUUUACAACUACCAACGAAAAAAAGGUCAAGGGGUAAAGUCACAUAAUAGACAUGGUCAACCUUAAUCUUAUAUCAUAACGCCAUACAAUCUUAUAUACUUAUACGAAUUUCUAACAUCACAUUUACUUACCUUUCACAAACAACCAUGAGUCUAUAAUUAUAAUUUACUGGCUAAUCUAGCCAUUUUCAUACUUCAAGCAACAACAAUUCACCUUAACUAAUAACUCCUUCCCUACAUUUUACUAAACUAACACACAAAGAUGUAUCACUUUAUUACCAACUCAAUCUCAUGCAAAAAAAAAUUGGUUAUACAUAUAUUCAAUAAUCCGACCUUACCACUUUUCUUGCCAUUAUGGCUCUAAACCCCCAGUUCCAACCAACACAAGAACAACAAGAUGAACAAUAAAUUGCUAGUGAAUCAAAAUAGGCCCCACACGGCUUCGCUUGACUUUGAUUUUGUAUUUUGAACAAGGAAAUGAGAUGAAUGACAAGGCAACUAUGCUAGUGAAUCAAAAGAUCCCCACACGGCUUCACUAGACUUUUAGUUUCAACAACACAAUGAUAACAAGAUUACAAUAGAUAGAAACUUAACACAUAAUAUUCAAUGAUCUAACAAUACACAUUUUUCUCUGUAUAAAUAAAAAUCUGAGUCAAACACUUCCCCCACAAACUACCAUACAAUCCACACAUGCUACUAGCUAUCACAUUAGUCUAUCACUAUAGAGGGGUAAAUUAUCCUCAAACAUCGGUUAUCCAACUAAAAUAUUUAUUUACAUAAAAGUCACCCUCAGUCUAACUUUAAACUUUGUGGAUUUACCUCACCAACUUCUUGGUCCAAUAUCACUACCAAUAGGUCAUGACAACAACACUUUAACUCAUACUACUAUUCGCGUGGAAAUGCAGUUCCAACAUUCUUCUACACAUCAUUCCCCUUUUUAGGCAUGACAUCUGCAACAUAAUUUUAUUUUUUUUGAAAAGAGCCGAAUACACUUAAUACUACAGGCUGAAAAGAAAGAUCUCAUCAAAAUCAAAGCUUACACUAGAAUCAGUACACUCCGAAGCACUAACAGACUUUUCUCAAGCCCUUGCACAAUUUUUAAAAUCUUAUAUGACUCAAUCAGAAAGGAUCAUACCAUUUAGACUAAACUUAUACUCUUGAAUCACCCCAAUAAUGAGACAUUUAUGAGCACAUCAAAGUAAGGAAAGAAUUGGGAUAACUUUACUUUCAUAUGGGCGACACCAUAGCAUGAGUUUGAGUAUGAAAGAGGAACAUUCUGACUCUAUAGCAUAAAUUAGAACAUGAAGAAAGAGAGAUAAUCCUAAAUGCCUUGUAGCCACCUACUUAUAAGUAUGGCGCGCUACACACCCAUAAAUAAGACUCUACCUGAUGUGAUUUUGCAAACAACCUAGGACCAUUAAUCGUGCUUUGAUACAUAGUUUGUCAUGACCCAAAUCGGGCCCCUGUCCAUAACAAACAUCCCAAACCAAAAAGGCCCAGACGUCCUACUCUAUUUGGUAAUCAUGCACAACAUUCAUAUAAUAAAAGAAAAUAUGGAAAUAUAAUUUCAUACAAAAACAUGGUCCAAAAUCUUGGUUCAAUUUAACAAUAAGGAAUAAAAUCUGAAAUCAACUAAACAACAUCUGGAAUAGUCUACGAAAUCUCUACUACGUAAUCAAGUGACAACUAUCUGAAAAUUGGGACAAGGCCCCCAGUAGACCGAAACAAAUGGAAUAACAUAAUCUAAAAUAGACAGACCUUCUGGAACAAAGAAGGCUCACCACUGCACAUAUCACUUCACUCUAAAAUACUCUACUGCUUAGCUGGACCCCUAGAUUGAGCCUCCCAACCUGGGAGGUAGAGGGUCAAUACAGAUGUACUGGUAUGCAGAGUAAAUGCAAAAUAAUAAUUUAUAUUCAACAUAUAUGAGAGAAAUUUAAAAUAGUUCAUAAACAUAUUGUAUAGUAAGAAAUCACAUGGGCAUUUUGAAAGACUCUGUAAAAUCAUAUGAAUGUGACACUCUUUGUUUUACUUCUGCGCUAGGUGGUAUACCCUACAACUCUGAAACUCCACUUAUUAUACCACUGGUUAGUAGAUUCAUAGACUCCGACCCUUACGUCACACUUAUGUUGGGGGCUUGGCUAUCGAGUUAAUUAUAGGACCCGGUUGUGGUAUAGGAUGUGAACCAUCGGAGCCUUGGUUCGUCCUGUUUCACCCAUGCCCUAUUUGUGCUGUUUCACCCAUGCUGAGUUAAUAGUGAACCAUUGGCGAGUAAAUGGUUUGCCUUGGUGACCAAAUAUGCACGGGGCUGGGGCAUCGGUGAAACGGUACGAACCAAGGCAAAAUGGCACGAUGUGCACAUUACGGUAUAUUACAACCAUGAAAUCCAUUGAUGUGGUACAUUAAUGUGCACAUUAAGGAACACUAAUAGGACCCUCGUAACUCAACAUAGAACUUCAGGGGUGUGCCUGGGGGUCGAGUGUGUUGUGGGCUAAAAAUUGAUCGGGGUGUGCCAAGGAGGUUGGGGAUCAUCCCAUUGUGGUCCGUUUUACUAUUCAACACCAUUUGGGGGGUCAAACAGGGACACAAUGCAAAUGGGUUAUUUUUGGGUCAAAUUGCAAUGCUAUAGCCUAUAAUUUUAGGGGUGGGCCCUGGGUUCGGGCGUUAUGUAGUCUAAAAAUUAAUUGGGGCAUGCCAGAGAGGUUGGAGAUUAUCAUAUUAUGGUUUAUUUUAAUAAGCAUGCCUUUUUGAUGGUAAAAUGGGCAUAAUGGCAUGAACGAGGCAUUUUUAGGCCAAAUUGCUGUGCUAUAACCCAUAAUUUUAGGUGUGGGGUCGAGGUCUGGGCGUAAUGUAGACCAAAAAUUGACUGGAUGUGGCAGGGAGGUUGGGGAUUGUCCCAGUAUGGUCCUUUUCAAUAAUUUAUGCCAAUUGGGUGGUCAAAAAAUUGAAACAGCAUAAAUAGGGUAUUUUUGGGCCAAACAGGUAUGCUAUAUCCCACGGUUUUGAGGGUGGGCCUGGGUUUCGAGCAUACUAUGGGCCAAAAAUUUAUUGGGGUAUGCCAGUAAGGUUUUAGAUCAUCCCUGUCUGGUCUAUUUUAAUAUUUAAUACCAUUUGGGUAGUCAAACGAGCAAAACAAUGUGAAUGGUGCAUUUUCGAGCAAAAUUGAUGUGCUAUAGCCUACGAUUCUGGAUGUGGACUAGGGGUCCGGGUGUGCUGUGGGACAACAAUUAAUCGGGACAUUCCAGGAAAGUUAGGGUUAUCUCAGUGUGGUUUGUUUAUAUAUUCGAUGCCAUUUGGGUAGUCUAACAAGCAAAAUAGUGCGUAGGGGUAUUUUUAGGCCAAAUCGAUGUGUUAUAGCCUAUGGUUUCGAGGGUGGACCCAGGGUUUGGGGUGCUAUGGGCCAAAAAUCAACUGGGGCAUGCCAUAAUGGUUGGGCAUCAUCCUAGUGUGGUAUAUUUCAAUAUUCGAUGCCAUUUGGGUGAUCAAAUGGGCAAAAUGAUGCGAACAGGAUAUUUUUAAGCUAAAUUAGUGUGCCAUAUCCCACAGUUCUGGGGUGGGCCUAAGGUUCGGGUGUGCUGUGGGCCAAAAAUCAAUCAGAGUAUGCCAAGGAGGUUGGGGAUCAUCCCAUGGUGUUUCGUUUCAAUAUUCGAUGCUAUUUGGGUGGUUAAAUGAGCAAAACGAUGCAAAUGAGGCAUUUACAAGCCAAAUCAGUGAGCUAUAGCCCACGGUUCUGGGGGUAGGCCUGGGGUCCGAGAGUGUUGUGGGCCAAAAAUUGACUGAGGCAUUUUAGAGAGGUUAGGGGUUAUCCCAGUAUAGUCUGUUUCAAUAUUUGAUGCCAUUUGGAUGGUGAAACAGGCAAAACAAUAAGAACGGGGCAUUUUCUAGUCAAAUCGAUGUGUUAUAUGCCACGGUUCUGGGGAUCAUUCCAUUGUGGUCAGUUUCAAUAUUCGAUGCCAUUUUGGUGGUUAAACAGGCGGAAUGGCGUGAACGGGGUAUUUUUGGGUGAACUCAGUGUGGGGGCCUGAGUUCCGGGCGUGUUGUGGGUCAACAAUUGAUGGGGCAUGCCAGGGAGGUUGGGUAUUAUCCAAGUGUGGUUCGUUUUAAUAUUUGAGGCCAUUUGGAUAUUAAAAUGGGCAAAAUGACAUGAAUGGGAAUGUGCAAUAGCCCAUAAUUUUGUGAGUGGACCAAGGAUUCGGGCGUGCUAUGGGCCAAAAAUUGAACAAGGCAUACCAGGGAAGUUGGAAUUAUCCCAGUAUAGUCCGUUUUAAUAUUUUAUGCCAUUUGUUUGGUCAAACGAGCGAAACGGAGUAAAAGGGGCAUUUUCAAGCUAAAUAGGUGCGCUACAUUGGGUUUCGGGCAUGCUGUGGGCCAAAAAUUAAUUAGGGCAUACCAAGGAGGUUGGACAUCAUCCCAGUAUGGUCCGUUUUAAUAUUAGAUUCCAUUUGGGUGGUCAAAUAGGCAAAACAGCACAAAUGGGGAUUUUUUAGGUCAAAUUGGUGUGCUAUAGCCCACGGUUCUAGGUGUGGGCCCAAGAUCGGGGCGUGUAGUUCAAAAAAAAUCAACCGGAGCAUACCAGGAAAGUUGGGAUCAUCCCAGUGUGGUCCAUUAUAAUAUUUGAUGCCAUUUGAGUUGUCAAAUGGGCAAAACUACGUGAAUGGGGCAUUUUUGGGCCAAAUCAGUGUGAUAUAGCCCACGGUUUCGGGGUUGGAUCCAGGUUCUAUGCGUGUUAUGGGUAAAAAAUUAAUUAGGGCAUGCCAGGGAGGUUGGGUAUCAUCCUAGUAUGGUCUGUUUCAAUAUUUGAUGUCAUUUGAGUGGUUAAACUGGCCAAACAGGGUACGACCCGGGGUCCAGGCGUGCUAUGGAUUAAAAAUCAACCGAAGCAUUCCAGAGAGGUUGGGGAUCAUCCUAGUGUGUUUUUUUAAAUAUUCGAUGCCAUUUUGGUAGUCAUAUGGGCAAAACGGCACAAAUGAGGCAUUUUUUGGCCAAAUCGGUGUGCUAUAGCCGACAGUUCUGGGGGUGGGUCCAGGAUUUGGGCGUGAUAUGGGUUGAAAAUUGAUUGGGGCGUGCCAGGGGGGUUGAAGAUCGUACCAGUAUGGUACCUUCUAAUAUUCAAUGCUUUUUAGGUGGUCAAAUGGGCGAAACGACGCAAAUAAAGGGUGUUUUUUUGGCCAAAUUGAUUUGCUAUAGCCCAUAAUUUUGGGGUGGGCUCGGGGUCUGAGGGUGCUAUGCCAAAAAUUGAUUGAAGCAUGUCAUGAGGUUUAGGGAUCAUCCCAGUUUCAUCCAUUUUAAUAUUCGAUGCCAUUUGGGUGGUCAAAUGGGCCAAAUAAAGCGAACGGGGCAUUUUCUGGCCAAAUUAGAGUGCUAUAGCCCACGAUAUUGAGGGAGGUCUCGGGUUUCGAGCUUGGUGUGGAUCAUCCCAGUGUGGUCUGUUUCAAUAUUUGCUGUCAUUUGGGUGGUCAAUUAGACAAAAUAGCACAAAGAGGGCAUUUCCAGACAAAAUUGAUGUGUUAUAGCCCACGGUUCUGGGGAUGGGCCCGGGGUUCGGGCGUACUAUGGUCAAAAAAUCAACCACAGCAUACAAAGGAGGUUGGGGAUCAUUCCAAUGUGGUCUGUUUAAAUAUUCGAUGCUAUUUGGGUGGUCAAAUAGGUAAAACAGCACGAAUGAGGCAUUUUUUGGGCCAAAUCAGUGUGUUAUAGCCCACGAUUCCAGGGGUGGGCUUGGGGUCCGGAUGUGCUGUGGGCUGAAAAUCAACCGAGGGAUGCAAAGGAGGUUGAGGGUCAUCACAAUGUGGUUCAUUUAAAUAUUAAAUGCCAUUUUGGUUGUCAAAUGGGCAAAACGGCACGAACAGGGCAUUUUUUUGCCAAAUCAGUGUGCUAUAGCCGACGGUUUUAGGGAUGGGCUCGGGGUACAAGUGUGCUUUGGCCUAAAAAUUUACCGAGGCAUGCCAGGGAGUUUCGGUAUCAUCCUAGUGUGGUCCAUUUCAAUAUUCGAUGCCAUUUGGCUGAUCAAACGGGAGCAAUGGCGCAAAUGGGGUAUUUUUAGGCUAAGUCGGUGAGCUAUAGCCGACGGUUCUGGGGGUGGGCCCGGGGUUCGGGCAUUUUAUUGGUAAAAAAUUGAUUGGGGCAUAAAAGGUAGGUUGGGGAUCAUAUUAAUGUGGUCCGUUUCAAUAUUCGAUGCCAUUUGUGUGGUUAAAAAAGAGAAAUGGCAUGCACGGGGAACUUUUGGGCUAAAUAGGUGUGCUAUAGCCCACGGUUUUAGGGGUGGGCUCAGAUUUCGGGCAUGUUCUGGGCUAAAAAUUGAUCGACGCUUGCCAGGGAGGUUGGGGAUCAUCCCUGUGUGGUUUUUUUUAAAUAUUUUAUGCCAUUUGGGUGGUCAAACGGGCAAAACAACGCGAAUGAGGCAUUUUUGGGAUAUAUUAGAGUGCUACAGUCUACAGUUUCAGGGGUCGGCUCGGGUUCUAAGCGUGCUGUAGGCCAAAAAUUAACCGAGGUGUGCCAGGGAAGUUGGGGAUCAUUCCAGUGUGGUCUAUUUCAAUAUUUUAUGCCAUUUGGGUGGUCAAACGGGCAAAAUAGCACAAACAGGGCAUUUUCGAGUCAAAUUGAUGUGCUAUAGACCGCGGUUCUGGGGUGGGCUUGAGAUCCGAGUGUGCUGUGGGAUGAAAAUCGACUGGGGCAUGCAAAGGAGGUUCGGGAUUAUCCUAGUGUGGUCUGUUUCAAUAUUCAAUCUCAUUUAUAUGGUCAAACAGGCAAAACGGCCAAAAUGGGACAUUUUCAGGCCAAAUUGGUGUGUUAUAGCCCACAGUUUUGAGGGUGGGGAUAGGAUACGACCAUUUUGUGGGCCAAAAAUUAAUUGGGGCAUCCCAAGGAGGUUGGGGAUCAUCUCAGUGUGGUCCAUUUAAUUAUUCAAUGCGAUUUAUGUGGUCAAAUGGGCGAAACAUCACGUACGGGGUGUUAUAGGGUUAAAUCUAUGUGCUAUAGCCCAUGGUUUUGGGGGUGGGCUCGGGGUCCGAGCAUGUUGUAGGCCGAAAAUCAAUCAGGGCAUGUCAGGGAGGUUGAAGAUCAUCUCAGUGUGGACUGUUAUAAUAUUUGAUGCCAUUUGGGUGGUCUAAUGGGCAAAACGGUGCAAACAGGCCAUUUUCUGGCCAAAUCGGUGUGCUAUAGCCCAUGGUUCUAGGGGUGGACCUAGGGUCCGGGUGUUCUGUGGGACAAAAAUCGGCCGUGGCAUGCCAGGGAGGUUGGAGAUCAUCCCAGUGUGUUACGUUUCAAUAUUCAAUGCCAUUUGGGUGGUCAAACAGGCAAAAUGGCAUGAAUGAGGAAUUUUUGGGCUAAAUUGGUGUGCUAUACCCCAUGGUUGCUAGGGUGGGCUCGGGAUUUCGGCGUGUUGUGGGCUAAAAAAUGAUCAGGGCAUGCCAGGGAGGUUAGGGAUUAUCCCAAUAUGGUUUGUCUCAAUAUUUGAUGCCUUUUGAGUAAUUAAACAGGCAAAACGGUGUGAAUAGGGCAUUUUCGAGCCAAAUCAGUGUGCUAUAGCCCACAGUUUUAGCGUUGCACUCGGGGUUCGAGCAUGCUGUGGGUCAAAAAUUGAGCGGGGUGUGCCAGGGAGGUUGGGGACCAUCUCAGUAUGGUACGUUUCAAUAUUUGAUGCCAUUUAGGCAGUCAAACAUACAUAAAGGCAUGAUUGGGGAAUUUCCAUACCAAAUUGAUGUGCUAUAUAGCCCACAGUUCUGAGGGUGAGCUUGGGGUUCGGGUGUGCCGUGGGCUAAAAAUUGACUGGGGCAUGCCAGGGAGGUUGGGGAUCAUCCCUGCAUGGUGUAUUUUAAUAUCCGAUGCCAUUUGGGUGGUCAAACAGGCGAAACAGUGUGAACGAGGCAUUUUUGGGCCAAACUGGUGUGCUUUAGCCCACGGUUCUAGGUGUUGGCUCGGAGCCCGGGCAUGCUGUAGGCCAAAAAUCGACCAUGGCAUGUUAGGGAGGUUGGGAUCAUCCCAGUGUAGUCAAUUUCAAUAUUUGAUGCCAUUUGGUUGGUGAAACGGGUGAAACGAUGCGAAUAGGGAAUUUUCGGGCUAAAUCGAUGUGCUAUAGCCCACGGUUCUAUGGGUGGGCCGGGGGUCCGAUUCUGCUAUUGGUCAACAAUUGAUCGGGGAAUGCCAGAGAGGUUGGGGAUCAUCCCAGUAUGAUUCGUUUCAUUAUUCGAUGCCAUUUGACUGGUAAAAUGGGUGAAACGGUGCUAAUAGGGCAUUUUCAGGCUAAAUCAGUGUGAUAUAGCCCACGGUUCUGGGGGUGGUACUGGGGUAUGGGCGUGCUGUGCAUCAAAAAUUUACUGAGGCAUGCCAGGGAUAUAGAGGAUCAUCCCAGUGUGGGUUUUUUAAUAUUCAAUGCCAUUUGAGUGGUAAACGAGCAAAACGGCAUAAAUGGGGCAUUUUUGGGCCAAAUUAGUGUGUUAUAGCCCAUGAUUUUGGGGGUGUGCCAGGGGUCUGGGCGUGAUGUGGCAUUAAAAUUAAUCGAGGCAUGCUAGGGAGGUUGGAGAUCAUCUCAAUGUGGUUCAUUUUAAUUUUUGAUGCCAUUUGGGUGGUUAAACAGGUAAAACAGCGCAAAUGGGGCAUUUUUGGGUUAAUUUGGUGUGCUAUAGCCCACGAUUCUAGGGGUAGGCUCGACGUUCGGGCAUGAUGUGGGUCGAGAAUCGACCGAGGUAUUCCUGGAAGGUUGGGGAUCAUCACACUAUGAUAUAUUUCAAUAUUUGAUGCUAUUUGGGUUGCCAAAUAGGUAAAACGGUGUAAAUAGGGCAUUUUUGGGCCAAAUUAUUGUGUUAUAGCCCACGAUUUCAGGGGUGGGCCUAGGUUCGGGCGUUCUAUGUGCCAAAAAUUGAUCGGGUAUGACAAAAAGGUUGGAUAUCAUCCUAGUAUGGUCCGUUUCAAUAUUCGAUGCCAUUUGGGUGGUCAAACGGGAGAAACGGCAAGAAUCAGAUAUUUUCAAGUCAAAUCGGUGUGCUAUAGCGCACAAUUCUGAGGGUUGGCCCAAGGUUCAGACAUGAUUUGGGCCAAAAAUUGACCAAGGCAUGCCAGGGAUGUUUGGGAUCAUCUCAGUAUGGUCUGUUUCAAUAUUUGAUGCGAUUUGGCUGGUCAAACAAGAAAAACAAUGCAAAUAGGACAUUUUCAAGACAAAUCGGUGUGCUAUAGCCUACAAUUCUAGGGGUGGGCCCAGGGUCCGAGCAUUCUGUUGGACAAAAAUCAACUGAGGCAUCCCAGUGAGGUUAGGGAUCAUCCCAAUAUGGUCUGUUUCACUAAUCAAUGCCAUUUUUGUAGUCAAAAGUGAGAAACGGCACAAACGGGGCAUUUUUGGGUCAAAUUAAUGUGCUAUAGUCUAUGAUUCCAGGGGUGGGUCGGGGUUUCGGGCGUGCUGCUGGCCAAAAAUUGACUAGGGCAUGCCUUGGAGGUUAGAGAUCAUAGUAGUGUGGUUCAUUUUAAUAUUCGAUGCCAUUUGGGUAGUCAAACGAGUGAAACGACAUGAACGAAGUAUUCUUGAGUCAAAUCAGUGAGAUACAACCCACGAUUCUAGGGGUGGGCCUAAGUUCUGAGUGUUCUAUAGGCAAAAAAUCAACCGGGGUAUGCUUAGAAGGUUGGGGAUCAUCCCAAUGUGUUCUGUUUCAAUAUUUAAUAAAAAUCGGUGUAGUAUAGCCUACGGUUCUAGUGGAGGGCUCGAGGUCAGGCGUGCUGUGGUUCUAAAAUUGAUUGGGUCUUGAUAGGGACAUUAUGUAUCAUCCCAGUGUGGUAUAUUUCAAUAUUCGAUUCCAUUUAGGUUGUUAAAAUGGUGAAACGAUGUUAUUAGGGCAUUUUUUGGGCAAAUUGGUGUGUUAUAGCCCAUGGUUCUGGGGGUGGGCCCGGGUCCAGGCGAGCUGUGGGACAAAAAUUGAUUGAAGCAUUCCAGGAAGGUUAGGUAUCAUCCCAGUGUGGUGCAUUUAAAUAUUAGAAGCCAUUUUGGUAGUCAAAUGAGUGAAACGGCAAAAAUGGAGCAUUUUUUAGGCCAAAUCAAUGUGCUAUAGCCCACGGUCUUGGGGUGGGCCUGUGGUCCGGGCGUUCUAUAGGCCAAAAAUCAACCGAGGUGUUCCAGAGGGGUUGGGGAUCAUUUCAAUGUUGUCCGUUUCAAUAUUCUAUGCCAUUUGGGUGGUCAAACGGGUGAAAUAAUGCAAAUAGGGCAUUUUAGGGCCAUAUCAAUGUGCUAUAUCCCCCGAUUCUGGGGUGCGCCCGGGGUCCUGGUGUGCUGUGAGCGAAAAAUUGAUUGGGGAAUGCCAGGGAGGUUGGGGAUCAUUCCAGUUUAAUCCGUUUUGAUAUUCAAUACCAUGUAGGUGGUCAAACAGGCAAAAUGAUACGAAUAAGGGAAUUUUCGGCCAAAUCGGUGUGCUAUAGCCCAUAGUUCCAGGGGACGGCCUGAGGUCGAGUGUGCUGUGGGUUGAAAAUCGACUAGGUCUUGCCAGGAAUUUUGGGAAUUAUCCUAUUGUGGUCCAUUUCAAUAUUCAAUGCCAUUUAGGUGGUUAAACGGGAGAAAUAGAGCAAACGAGACAUUUUUUGGGCAAAUCGGUAUAUUAUAGCCCACGGUUUUAGGGAUGGGCCUGGAGUUCUGGCAUGCUAUAGGUUAAAAAUUGACCGAGGCAUGCCAUGGAGGUUGGGUAUCAUCCAAGUGUUGUCCAUUUCAAUAUUUGAUGCCAUUUGGAUGGUCAAACGAGCAAAACAGUGCCAAAGAGGCAUUUUCAGGCCAAAUUAAUGUGCUAUUGCUCACAGCUCCAGGGGUGGGCCCAUGGUCCGACGUGAUGUGGGCCAAAUAUUGACCGAGGUAUGCAAGGAAGGUUGUGGAUCAUUCCAGUGUUGUCCGUUUCAAUAUUCUUUACUAUUUGGGUGGUCAAACGGGCAAAACAACACGAAUAGGGCAUAUUUGGGCCAUAUCAUUGUGCUAUAUCCCAUGGUUUUCGGGGUGGGCUCGGGGUUCAAAUGUGAUGUCGGUCCAUUUCAACAUUCGAUUCCAUUAAUGCGGUCAAACAGGUAAAAUGGUGUGAAUGAGAUAUUUUCUAGGCAAAUCGGUGUGCUAUAUCAUAUGGUUCUGGGGUGGGCUCGGGGUCCAGGCGUGUUGAAGGUCGAAUAUUGACAAGGAUAUGCUAGGAAAGUUGGGGAUCAUUCCAGUGUGGUCUAUUACAAUAUUUGAUGCCAUUUGGGUGGUCAAACAAGCGAAACGGCAUGAACGGGGCAUUUUCGAGCUAAAUUGGUGUGCUAUAACCCACGGUUCUGAGGUUGAGCUCAGGGUCCGGGCAUGCUGUGGGCCAAAAAUCAACCGAAUGGAUGACAGGGAGGUUGGGGAUUAGCCCAGAGUAGCCUGUUUCAUUAUUCGAUGCCAUUUGGGGUGGUAAAAUGGGCAAAACGGUGCUAACGGGGCAUUUUCGGGCUAAAUCAGUGUGUUAUAGCCCACAGUUUCAGAGGUGGGCCCGGGGUACGAGUAUGUUGUGGGUCAAAAAUUAAUUGGGGAAUGCCACGGAGGUUGGGGAUCAUCCCAAUGUGGUUUUUUUUAAUAUUCGAUGCCAUUUGGGUGGUCAAACAGAUAAAACGGCAUGAAUGGGGCAUUUUCAGCCCAAAUCAGUAUAUUAUAGCCAAUGGUUCCAGGGGUGUGCUAAGGGUCUGGGGUAUGGGCGUGCUAUCGGUCAAAACUCGAUCGGACCAUGCCAAUAAGAAUUGAGGAUCAUCCCAGAGUGGUUCGUUUCAAUAUUCAAUGCAAAUUGAGUGGUCAAAUAGGUGAAUCAGCGCGAAUGGGGCAUUUUCGGGCCAAAUUAGUGUGCUAUUUCCCACGGUUCUGGGGAUGGGCCCAGGGUACGAGCGUGCUGGGGGACAAAAAUUGAUCGAGGAGUGCCAGGGAAGUUGGGGAUCAUCCCAAUUUGGUCUGUUUCAGUAUUCGAUGCUAUUUGGGUGGUCAAACGGGAAAAACAACGCGAAUGGGGCAUUUGUGGGCCAAAUUGGUGAGCUAUAGCCCACGAUUCCGGGGGUGGGCCUCGGAUCCAAGCAUGUUAUGGGUCAAAAUUCAACUGGGCAUGUCAAGGUGGUUGAAGAUCAUCCUAGUAUGGUCCGUUUCAAUAUUUGAUGCUAUUUAGGUGGUCAAACAGACGAAACUACAAGAAUAGGACAAUUUUUAACCAAAUCGAUGUGCUAUAGCCCUUUAUCCCAGGGUUGGCCCAUGGUUCGGGUGUGCUUUGGGUCAAAAAUUGAUUGGGGCGUGCCAAGGAGGUUUGGGAUCAUCCUAGUAUGGUCCGUUUCAAUAUUCAAUACAAUUUGGGUGGUCACACAAGCAAAACGGUGCAAAUGGGGCAUUUUUUAGACAAAUUGGUGUGCUAUAGACCACGGUUCUAGGGGUGGGCCCAUGGUCAUUUGGUGGGCCAAAAAUCUACCGAGGUAUGCCAGUGAGGUUUUGGAUCAUCCCAGUGUGGUCUAUUUCAAUAUUAGAUGCCAUUUGGGUGGUCAAAAGGGCAAAACGAUAUGAACUAGGCAUUUUCAUGCCUAAUCGAUGUGCUAUAUCCUACGGUUCAAGGGGUGGGCCUGAGGUAUGGGCAUGUUGUGGGAUAAAAUUUAACCAGGGCGUGCCUUGGAGAUUGGGGAUUGUCACAGUGUGGUCCAUUUGAAUAUUCGAUGCCAUUUGCGUGGUCAAAGGAUAAAAUAGUGCGAACGGGGCAUUUUUCAAGCCAAAUUGGUGUGCUAUAGCCAAUGGUUCUGGGGUAAGCCCGGGGUCCGGGCGUGCUGUGGGCCAAAAAUCAAUUGAGGUGUUCCAGGGAGGUUGAGGAUCAUCCCAGGUUGGUCUGUUUUAAUAUUUUAUGCCAUUAGGGUGGUAAAUCAGGUGAAACGACGCAAAUGGGGAAUUUUAAAGCCAAAUCGGUGUGCUAUAGCCCACGAGUCAGGAGGUGGGCUCGGGGUUUGAGCGUUUUGUGGGUCAAAAAUUAAUUGAGGCAUGCCAGGAAGGUUAGAGAUGGUCCCAAUAUGGUCCGUUUAAAUAUUUGAUUCCAUUUGUACGGUCAAACGGGUAAAACAUUACGAAUGAGGCAUUUUCUAGCCAAAUUAUUGUGCUAUAACCCACAGUUCCAGGUGUGGGCCCAAAGUCUGGGUGUGUUGUUGGCUUAAAAUUAAUCGGGGGUGCCAGGGAGGUUGUGCAUCAUCCCAGUGUGGUUCAUUUCAAUAUUUGGUGCCAUUUAGGUGGUCAAAUAGGUGAAACGGUGUGAACGAGGUAUUUUUUGGCUAAAUCGAUAUGCUAUCGCCUAUGAUUCUAGGGGUGGGGCCAGGGUUCAGGCGUGCUGAGGGCUAAAAAUCGAUAGGGGCAUGCCAGAGAGGUUGAAAAUUGUCCCAGUAUGGUCCGUUUCAAUAUUCGAUGCCAUUUGGGUAGUCAAACGGGUGAAAUGACACGAAUGAGGUAUUUUUGAGCUAAAUUGAUGUGCACUAUAGCCCAUGGUUCUGGGGGUGGGCUCAGGGUUUGGGCAUGUUGUGGGCCAAAAAUUGGCCGGGGUGUGCAAGGAGGUUGGGGAUCAUUCUAGUGUGGUCCAUUUUAAUAUUUGAUGCAAUUUAGGUGAUCAAACGAGCUAUACGUCACAAACGAGGCAUUUUUGGGCCUAAUCGGUGUGCUAUAGC
rnacentral:lncRNA from 1 species